CAAAACCGAGGGUGGCAGGUGGAAUAAAAGAGAUACAUAAAGAAAGCAAAGAAAAAAAAAACAUCACCAUACAUCAUGUGCCAUUUCUUUAGAAUUCUGCCGAGAAUCAAAAAUCCAAAAGUGUGUGACCGUUCUUUUUCCAAAAUAUACCGAGAGAGAGAGAGAGCUCCCUUAAAAAGUGACGACUGGUUGCUUUAAAGCAAGGCCAUGUGUUUUGCAAAAUGAGUUUGGGGUCCACCCUAAAUCCCUAGUGUUUGGUGCCAUGUGUCUCACCAUUGGGCUUCUACGAAAUUGCCACUAAAAAGGGCCCAAUACACAAAAUCCUAAUUAAAGCUUCUAGAAAACUAAGUUACAACUUAAUUAAAAUUGAAAUGACUAAAUGUUGAGUUUUUAAUGUGC
rnacentral:lncRNA from 1 species